rnacentral:lncRNA from 1 species
UUUCAUUAUAAUUCAUAAACUUAUAAUACUAACAUUUUCAACCAUUUAUAUUAAAAACAUAGUAACCUUUAUACACGUCCUAUGUACAUGCCACAUUACCAAGGAAAAUAUACAUCACCAAAAGUUUGCUGACGUCGGGUCUGGCUUUGGAUGCUGGUUCAGUAUUUGACUUCCACAACCUGCGCACGGAAACAACCGUACGCUGAGUAUACAUAUACUCAGUGGUAUCACUAUAAUUCAAUUUAUAAUUAAAUACAUUAAAUCACACACAUACUUUUUAUUUCAAUUAUCACUACUAAUAAACAAUUCAAUCAUUUAAUAUUAUCAAAUAAUUAUAUAUAUUUAUAAACAUCAUUCUUAUUUCUUUAUUUCAAAUUUCACAUUUCACAUAUACUAUAUCAUUCAAGAAGUAAACUUAUUUCAUUUACCCCUAUUAACUUGACUCGGACUCGACGGAUACACGGAUUCCAACCAAACACACCAGUAUACAGUAAUCAGUAACAGUAACAGUAACAGUAUUCAACACACAAAGUGCUGAACUUGUAACAGUAACGGUAACAGUAUUCGACACACAAAGUGCCGAGUCGGUAACAGUAACAGUAACAGUAUUCGACACACAAAGUGACGAAUCAAUAACAGUAACAGUAGUCGGCACAUAAGUGCCUGAUCAGUAAGUCGGCAAAUACCCCGUACACUUCCAUAUCCUAUGGCAUGCCAACUAUAUCCGAUUAGCCCGACUAGUUAAUAGGGUAUUUAAUUCACUUUUCAGUAUAAAUUUCCAUCUUAAUUCAGUAUCAAUUAUAAUUCCUUAUUUCAAUCGGUUUCACAGUAUCACAGUAAUUCUUUACUUCAGUAAUUUCACAAUUCAAUGCAUUAUACAUAACAAUAUUCAGUAUUUUCACAAUUCACUCAGUAAUCAAAACAAUAUCCAGUACUCUAUAAUUCGGUUCAGUAUCAAUUUCAAUUUCAUUACUACAUUAUAAAUUUAUUAUUUAUUAAACACUUACCUUAAAAUACUUGCCACACAUAAUUAGCAAAUUAAACACUUAAUAAUAAUAAAGUUUGAAUUAUAGUGAUACAAACCAUAAUUCUCGUGUCUAUUCCUCGUCCACUUUUUCUUUUCCUUUCCUCGUGGAUGCCUCGGUUGCGAUAUUAGCUACGAAAAGAAAUUAAGAUAAUUUUCAUAAUCAUUAGCACAACACAAUUUACUUGCUGAAAUUUUUAUCUAACUUUUACUUUAAUUUCAAUUUAAUCCUAACUAAAUCUAUAUAUUUUUCUUUCUCAAUUCAUACCUUCUUGCUACUCAAUUUCUUGCCAAACUCAUAUGUAACUAUCUAAUUUUUAUCAUAUUUUCAUAAUUUCGAAUUUAUUUCAAUUUAAUCGCUAAAAUUAAAAAAAUUAUAGUUUAGUUUACAAUUCAAUCCUUUAUUCAAUUCCAAUCAAAAUUUCUAUCAAAUACAUCCCUAAUUUAACAAUUUAUUCAACAUGAACCAUGCUUAAUAAUCUAUAAACUUCCAAAACCUCAACUUAUUUUUAACAAAACUAACUUCUAAAACAUAAAACUUAUAGUUUCUUUUACAAUUUAAUCCCUUUUUCAAUUCUAACUUAAAAUUCAUGCUAUUUAAUCCCUAAUUCAUCUCUUUUGUUCAACAUAAACUAUACUUGAAAACCUAUGAACUUACAAAACAUCAACUUAAUUCCAUCAAAACUUUGUUUUAAAGCUUUUAAAACAUUAGAAUUAAGAGAAAAUGGCUAAUUUAACUUACCAAUCAAAGCUUUAAACCUUAAACCUCCAAUUUUUCCUUUUUCUUUCUUUUUCUUCUUUCUCCCCUGUUUCUUCUCUGUUUCGUCCUUUCCUAUUCUGUUUCUUUUCUCCUUUUGUUUCUUUUAUUCUUUUAGUUUAUGUUUU